UAGGGAAUAUUGGACAAUGGGGGGAACCCUGAUCCAGCCAUGCCGCGUGGAGGAAGACUGCCCUCUGGGUUGUAAACUCCUUUUAUAUGGGAAGAACCGUCCUCAUUGAUGAGUGACCUGACGGUACCAUAGGAAUAAGCACCGGCUAACUCCGUGCCAGCAGCCGCGGUAAUACGGAGGGUGCAAGCGUUAUCCGGAUUCACUGGGUUUAAAGGGUGCGUAGGCGGAUAUGUAAGUCAGUGGUGAAAUCAACGGGCUCAACCUGUUAACUGCCAUUGAUACUGUGUAUCUUGAAUAUGAGAGAGGUAGGCGGAAUGUUGCAUGUAGCGUUGAAAUGCUUAGAUAUGCUACGGAACACCGAUUGCGAAGGCAGCUUACUAUUUCGUAAUUGACGCUGAGGCACGAAAGCGUGGGUAGCGAACA
rnacentral:rRNA from 1 species